rnacentral:sRNA from 1 species
AUCUUCAGCUUGUUGAGGACAGAUGAAGUGAAUAUGGCUGUCGAUGCCACCCGCGGUGAGUAUGGAUCCUUCGCCUGCGAUGAUCUCGGUGGCGGCGCCGAUGGCCAUGGUCACAUUGGGCUGAAUAUCCGGAUUCCCGGCCUUGCCGAUUCCCGCAAUCCUGCCGUCUUUCAGGCCGACAUCGGCCUUGACGAUCCCCCAGUGGUCGAUGAUGACGGCAUUGGUGAUAACCGUGUCCAUCACAUCCGCAUGAUUGCGCUGCGACUGGCCCAUGCCGUCCCGGAU